UGCAUCGGCCGGGAAUCGAACCCGGGCCGUCGGGUGGCAUGCGAGCAUUCUACCACAAAGCCACCGAUGGC